CCAGACUCCUACGGGAGGCCGCCGUGGGGACUCUUUCACAAUGGGCUCCCGCCUGAUGCCGCCCUGCCGCGUGUCUUCCGAAGGCCUUCGUGUUGUAAAGUCCUUUCAGCGGGGCGGCCGGUGUUGUGGUUCCUCACCACAGCCCUUGCCGUUACCCGCCGCCGAAGCACCGGCUCCCUCCGUGCCCGCCGCCGCGGUCCUCCGGAGGGUGCCCGCGUUAAUCGGAAUUCCUGGGCGUAAAGCGCACGCAGGCGGUCUGUCAAGGCGGAUGUGAAAGGCCCGGGCUCAACCGGGGAACUGCAGGCGAAACUGGCAGGCGGGAGGCGGGGAGAGGGGGGGAGAAGUCCAGGUGGAGAGGUGAAAUGCGGAGAGAUCUGGAGGAAGACCGGUGGCGAAGGCGGCCCCCUGGACAAAGACUGACGCGCAGGUGCGAAAGCGGGGGGAGCAAACAGGAGGAGAUACCCGAGUACU
rnacentral:rRNA from 1 species